UUAAGGAUGCACGACUUAGCUGAGGU
rnacentral:piRNA from 1 species